UGAACGCUAGCUACAGGCUUAACACAUGCAAGUCGAGGGGCAGCAUGGUCUUAGCUUGCUAAGGCCGAUGGCGACCGGCGCACGGGUGAGUAACACGUAUCCAACCUGCCGUCUACUCUUGGACAGCCUUCUGAAAGGAAGAUUAAUACAAGAUGGCAUCAUGAGUCCGCAUGUUCACAUGAUUAAAGGUAUUCCGGUAGACGAUGGGGAUGCGUUCCAUUAGAUAGUAGGCGGGGUAACGGCCCACCUAGUCUUCGAUGGAUAGGGGUUCUGAGAGGAAGGUCCCCCACAUUGGAACUGAGACACGGUCCAAACUCCUACGGGAGGCAGCAGUGAGGAAUAUUGGUCAAUGGGCGAGAGCCUGAACCAGCCAAGUAGCGUGAAGGAUGACUGCCCUAUGGGUUGUAAACUUCUUUUAUAAAGGAAUAAAGUCGGGUAUGCAUACCCGUUUGCAUGUACUUUAUGAAUAAGGAUCGGCUAACUCCGUGCCAGCAGCCGCGGUAAUACGGAGGAUCCGAGCGUUAUCCGGAUUUAUUGGGUUUAAAGGGAGCGUAGAUGGAUGUUUAAGUCAGUUGUGAAAGUUUGCGGCUCAACCGUAAAAUUGCAGUUGAUACUGGAUAUCUUGAGUGCAGUUGAGGCAGGCGGAAUUCGUGGUGUAGCGGUGAAAUGCUUAGAUAUCACGAAGAACUCCGAUUGCGAAGGCAGCCUGCUAAGCUGCAACUGACAUUGAGGCUCGAAAGUGUGGGUAUCAAACAGGAUUAGAUACCCUGGUAGUCCACACGGUAAACGAUGAAUACUCGCUGUUUGCGAUAUACGGCAAGCGGCCAAGCGAAAGCGUUAAGUAUUCCACCUGGGGAGUACGCCGGCAACGGUGAAACUCAAAGGAAUUGACGGGGGCCCGCACAAGCGGAGGAACAUGUGGUUUAAUUCGAUGAUACGCGAGGAACCUUACCCGGGCUUAAAUUGCAGAUGAAUUACGGUGAAAGCCGUAAGCCGCAAGGCAUCUGUGAAGGUGCUGCAUGGUUGUCGUCAGCUCGUGCCGUGAGGUGUCGGCUUAAGUGCCAUAACGAGCGCAACCCUUGUUGUCAGUUACUAACAGGUUCCGCUGAGGACUCUGACAAGACUGCCAUCGUAAGAUGUGAGGAAGGUGGGGAUGACGUCAAAUCAGCACGGCCCUUACGUCCGGGGCUACACACGUGUUACAAUGGGGGGUACAGAGGGCCGCUACCACGCGAGUGGAUGCCAAUCCCAAAAACCUCUCUCAGUUCGGACUGGAGUCUGCAACCCGACUCCACGAAGCUGGAUUCGCUAGUAAUCGCGCAUCAGCCACGGCGCGGUGAAUACGUUCCCGGGCCUUGUACACACCGCCCGUCAAGCCAUGGGAGCCGGGGGUACCUGAAGUGCGUAACCGCGAGGAGCGCCCUAGGGUAAAACUGGU
rnacentral:rRNA from 1 species